rnacentral:rRNA from 1 species
CCUACGGGUGGCUGCAGUGGGGAAUAUUGCACAAUGGGCGGAACCCUGAUGCAGCGACGCCGCGUGAGUGACGAAGUAUUUCGGUAUGUAAAGCUCUAUCAGCAGGGACGAAGAUGACGGUACCUGACUAAGAAGCCCCGGCUAACUACGUGCCAGAACCCGCGGUAAUACGGAGGGGGCAAGCGUUAUCCGGAUUUACUGGGUGUAAAGGGAGCGUAGACGGCUGUGCAAGUCUGGAGUGAAAGCCCCGGGCCCAACCCCGGGACUGCUUUGGAAACCGCCAUGCUGGAGUGCUGGAGAGGGAAGCGGAAUUCCUAGUGGAGCGGUGAAAUGCGUAGAUAUUAGGAGGAACACCAGUGGCGAAGGCAGCUUACUGGACAGUAACUGACGUUGAGGCACGAAAGCGUGGGGAGCAAACAGGAUUAGAUACCCGGGUAGUC